UUUUUUACUCUAAAAAAAAUUAGAACAGUUUCAGAUAUAUUGAAAAUAUAUUUAGUUUUGUAUUUAGCGAUAAAAAAUCAAAGUCAUUAGACAAUGAUAGUUUGAAAGAAUAUUGUCUUAAUCUUGAAUGUUUCUUAAAAUAUAAUAACUACUCUGAUAUUGAUGAUUUAGAUUUAUUUUCAGAGCUAAAAAUUAAAAAAAAAUUAUACAAGCGG
rnacentral:lncRNA from 1 species